GAUGAACGCUGGCGGCGUGCCUAAUACAUGCAAGUCGAGCGAACAGACGAGGAGCUUGCUCCUCUGACGUUAGCGGCGGACGGGUGAGUAACACGUGGAUAACCUACCUAUAAGACUGGGAUAACUUCGGGAAACCGGAGCUAAUACCGGAUAAUAUAUUGAACCGCAUGGUUCAACAGUGAAAGACGGUUUUGCUGUCACUUAUAGAUGGAUCCGCGCCGCAUUAGCUAGUUGGUAAGGUAACGGCUUACCAAGGCAACGAUGCGUAGCCGACCUGAGAGGGUGAUCGGCCACACUGGAACUGAGACACGGUCCAGACUCCUACGGGAGGCAGCAGUAGGGAAUCUUCCGCAAUGGGCGAAAGCCUGACGGAGCAACGCCGCGUGAGUGAUGAAGGUCUUCGGAUCGUAAAACUCUGUUAUUAGGGAAGAACAAAUGUGUAAGUAACUAUGCACGUCUUGACGGUACCUAAUCAGAAAGCCACGGCUAACUACGU
rnacentral:rRNA from 1 species